rnacentral:snRNA from 1 species
GGAUGUGAGGGUGAUCUGGCUGUGACACAUGUCACCCUGGUGAUCGCCAGGGUUGAUUUGGCUGAUCUGGCUGGCCAGGUAGGUGUUCCCUUCCUCCCCGACCACUUCUUGUACAUCCUUCCUGAAGCUGCACGCCCUGUCAAAGCGGACAACCAUCCCUGAUAGAGGAGGAUCCAUCUUCCAUCAAGUGUAUACGAGUAGCUGCUCCACUGCUAGAACCUCCAAACAAGCGCUCAAAGGGGUGGGUUUUUAAUUUGUUGUUGUUGUUGUUGUUUUCUUUUUCUUUUUCUUUUUUGUGACAGAGUCGCCCUCUGUCACCCAGG